rnacentral:rRNA from 1 species
GCCAAAGCUAGCCCAAACACCCAUAAACCCAACUAACACUAGAAAAUAAAAUAAAACAUUUAGUUACUUUAUAAAAGUAUAGGAGAUAGAAAUUUAACUUGGCGCUAUAGAGAAAGUACCGCAAGGGAAAGAUGAAAGAUAAAUUAUAAAGCACCACACAGCAAAGAUUGCCCCUUGUACCUUUUGCAUAAUGAAUUAGCUAGAAUCAACCUAGCAAAGAGAACUUUAGCUAGGCCCCCCGAAACCAGACGAGCUACCCAUGAACAAUCUAUUACAGGAUGAACUCAUCUAUGUUGCAAAAUAGUGAGAAGAUUUAUGGGUAGAGGUGAAAAGCCUAACGAGCCUGGUGAUAGCUGGUUGCCCAGAACAGAAUCUUAGUUCAACUUUAAACUUACCUCAAAAACCCCUAAAAUUCUAAUGUAAGUUUAAAAUUUAAUCUAAAAAGGUACAGCUUUUUAGAAUUAGGAUACAGCCUUUAUUAGAGAGUAAGCAUAUAACACAAACCAUAGUUGGCCCAAAAGCAGCCAUCAAUUAAGAAAGCGUUCAAGCUCAACAACCUAAAACAUCUUAAUGUCAAAAAAAAUGCAACCAACUCCUAACUUAAAACUGGGCUAAUCUAUUUAACAAUAGAAGCAAUAAUGCUAAUAUGAGUAACAAGAAAUAUUUCUCCCCGCAUAAGCCUAUAUCAGAACGGAUAACCACUGAUAGUUAACAACAAGAUAUAUACAACCCAACCAUAAACAAAAUAUCAAACUAACUGUUAACCCGACACAGGUAUGCAAAUUAAGGAAAGAUUAAAAGAAGUAAAAGGAACUCGGCAAACACAAGCCCCGCCUGUUUACCAAAAACAUCACCUCUAGCAUUUCCAGUAUUAGAGGCACUGCCUGCCCAGUGACACUAGUUAAACGGCCGCGGUAUCCUGACCGUGCAAAGGUAGCAUAAUCAUUUGUUCCCUAAAUAGGGACUUGUAUGAAUGGCCACACGAGGGCUUUACUGUCUCUUACUUCCAAUCCGUGAAAUUGACCUUCCCGUGAAGAGGCGGGAAUAUAACAAUAAGACGAGAAGACCCUAUGGAGCUUUAAUUAACCGACCCAAAGAGACCCCGCCAACCAACCGACAGGAACAACAAAUCUCUACAUGGGCCGACAAUUUAGGUUGGGGUGACCUCGGAGAAUAAAACAACCUCCGAGUGAUUUAAAUCUAGACUAACCAGUCAAAAGUAUUACAUCACUUAUUGAUCCAAAAACUUGAUCAACGGAACAAGUUACCCUAGGGAUAACAGCGCAAUCCUAUUUCAGAGUCCAUAUCGACAAUAGGGUUUACGACCUCGAUGUUGGAUCAGGACACCCCGAUGGUGCAGCAGCUAUCAAAGGUUCGUUUGUUCAACGAUUAAAGUCCUACGUGAUCUGAGUUCAGACCGGAGUAAUCCAGGUCGGUUUCUAUCUAUUAAAUAAUUUCUCCCAGUACGAAAGGACAAGAGAAAUAAGGCCCACUUCACCAAAGCGCCUUUAACCAAAUAGAUGAUAUGAUCUUAAUCUAGACAGUUUAUCCAAUUAUAUUACCCGUAGAGCUCGGGUUU